rnacentral:rRNA from 1 species
AUUGAACGCUGGCGGCAGGCCUAACACAUGCAAGUCGAACGAGUGGCGGACGGGUGAGUAAUGUCUGGGAAACUGACUGAUGGAGGGGGAUAACUACUGGAAACGGUAGCUAAUACCGCAUACCAUCAGAUGUGCCCAGAUUGGAUUAGCUAGUUGGAGGGGUAACGGCUCACCAAGGCGACGAUCCCUAGCUGGUCUCAGAGGAUGACCAGCCACACUGGAACUGAGACACGGUCCCUACUCCUACGUGAGGUAGCAGUGGGGAAUUUUGCACAAUGGGCGCACGCCUGAUGCAGCCAUGCCGCGUGUAUGACGAAGGCCUUCGGGUUUUAAAGUACUUUCAGCUGGGAGGCGUUACCCGCAGAAGAAGCACCGGCUAACUCCGUGCCAGCAGCCGCGGUAAUUC